UUUGAAAUGGUAGGAGGAAGGCAGAGAGCCGCUUGGUUUUUCAGUUUCUGUCGCAGCUCCACCCUUCAGAUCCCCAUCUGCUCCGAUUGCGACGAGAGAGAUAGGGAUCCGACCGUCGCACUAUGAAGGUAGACUCUCCUCCUUAAGCCUCUUUUUAUUAUCUCUACAUGUAUGUGACCCAAAAAAGAAAAAAGUAAGAAGAGAAUACAUAAAGAAAAACGAAAAAGAACCACCUUAGAAAAAAUCCAUCGAUAUUUGAUUUCUCUAUUUUUUGUAUUUUAAUGUCUUUUUUUUACAUUCGAUUUUCUCUCAAUAUUUUUUGAUUUUUCUUCUAUUCAAUAUGUGUGUGUACCGUUUACAGAUUCUUAAAUCGGCCUUUAUAGCCGAAAUGAAAAAAAGAAAAUAAAAUAAAAAAUCAAAAGAAAUCUGUCCUUUUUCAUUUGCUGUUGAUUUCGCGUUGGGCCACUUCGUGAUUGGGCUAGGGUCUAGGCAAAUUGGGUUUAAAUUUUAAUGGGCCCUAGUGGAUUAGCAAUUUGGGCCUGAUGUCGGGUAGUUUAGGUAUUGGGUUUCUGUUAAUUGGACUUUGGGUAUGUAAUUUUGGUUUUUUUUUUAAAUUGGGUUAAUGUAAUGGACAUUUGGACUUUUAAUUUUUUUAUUUUUAUAUUUGGGUUUUAAUAUCUGUAUUGGGCCGGGCAAAAUUUGGGUAUUACAAUAGUGAAAUUAAAAUCAACUUCGUAGUAUAUAUUUAAAUUUAUAUGCAACACUACUAGUGAGAUCAAAAUUGAAAAUAAC
rnacentral:lncRNA from 1 species